rnacentral:tRNA from 1 species
CUUUGUUUAGCUUAAAUUUAGAGCGUUUAUUUGAAGUGUAAAAAGUACUUAAGGGUAAUGAAGAAUU